UACGUAGGGGGCAAGCGUUGUCCGGAGUUACUGGGCGUAAAGCGCACGCAGGCGGUCGAUUAAGUUUGGAGUGACAGUUGGUGACUUAACUGCCAAAGUGCUUUGAAAACUGAUCGACUUGAGGGCUUCAGAGGGACACGGAAUUCCGGGUGGAGUGGUGAAAUGCGUAGAGAUGCGGAGGAACACCGAUGGCGAAGGCAGCCCCCUGGGCUAACACUGACGCUCAGGCACGAAAGCGUGGGGAGCAAACAGG
rnacentral:rRNA from 1 species